UACGAAGGGGGCUAGCGUUGUUCGGAAUUACUGGGCGUAAAGCGCACGUAGGAGGACUCUUAAGUCGGUGGUGAAAUCCUGGAGCUCAACUCCAGAACUGCCUUCGAUACUGGGAGUCUCGAGUCCGGGAGAGGUGAGUGGAACUGCGAGUGUAGAGGUGAAAUUCGUAGAUAUUCGCAAGAACACCAGUGGCGAAGGCGGCUCACUGGCCCGGUACUGACGCUGAGGUGCGAAAGCGUGGGGAGCAAACAGG
rnacentral:rRNA from 1 species